rnacentral:rRNA from 1 species
UACGUAGGGUGCGAGCGUUAAUCGGAAUUACUGGGCGUAAAGUGUGCGCAGGCGGCCGCGCAAGUCGAGUGUGAAAGCCCCGAGCUUAACUUGGGAAUUGCGCUCGAAACUACGUGGCUGGAGUGUGGCAGAGGAAGGUGGAAUUCCACGUGUAGCGGUGAAAUGCGUAGAGAUGUGGAGGAACACCAAUGGCGAAGGCAGCCUUCUGGGGCCAACACUGACGCUCAUGCACGAAAGCGUGGGGAGCAAACAGG